GCGGAGGGGACAGAGAGAGAAGAACACCGGUGUUUGCCUCCGCCGGUCGCCCGCCGGUCCCUAACCCCGCACCGUCGCCUCCGGCACGAGCUGCUGCCCCGCAGGUUGUAUCCUGACAAUCUGUCCUUAAAAAUGGGCAAACUGUGACUCCACACUCACAGGAAUACAGCUGUGACUGCUCUGACUCCAUCACAGCCUGGAGAAUGGGAAGGGGAAAUUGCUGCCAUCAUUAAUAUCUUCAAGACUCUGAAUGACUGCUGGGACUUUGGAGGAUAUUUAGACAUAGGAUGGAGGAGACACAGGCCUGUUCAAAGAGUUGUAUUCCAGGACUGUGCUGUGCUAGGGAACCAAGCUUUGUGUAUCCAAACACUCUGCAACUGGAAUGGUCUCUGCACAAUUCAUGGCAUCUUGUAAACAUCUUGAAGGAAAAAUAGCAUCUUGGAGGCUCCAGUGUUUCAGUACAACCUGGCAAUUUACUGCUGAUACAAUCGACUUCCAACAACCCUUCUCACCCAGCUGGAGACUGGUCACAGGCAUCCUACCUCCUCUUAGAGUCAGUCACCUAUUUUGGUGAGAUGCAUCAAGUUUAGCACACUCAUCUUUUUUUUUUUCCAUUGACUUUGAAAUUAUUUAAUUAAGUAGCUCUGAUGGAGUCAUUUACUGUUGGUCAAAUAAGUCCUAUUUCCACCUGAAGUCUUGAAGGUUUAGUUCUCAAGGUCCAUCCCCAUUUCUGAAGUGACUGUCCUGCAGCUGGAGGUGUAAGAUUUCUCUCCAGUAUUUAAAAAUUUGGCAUUCAUAUUCUAUGCAAUGUGACCUACCAGGCAAGUU